UAAACGCUGGCGGCGUGCAUAACACAUGCAAGUCGAACGAUGAAGAUUAAAAGAUUUCUUCGGAAUGAAUUUAAUUGGAUUAGUGGCGGACGGGUGAGUAACGCGUGAGUAACCUGCCUUGUACAAGGGGAUAGCCGUUGGAAACGACGAAUAAUACCCUAUGACAUCAAAUAAUCGCAUGAUAAUUUGAUCAAAGAUUUAUCGGUAUAAGAUGGACUCGCGUCUGAUUAGCUAGUUGGUGGGGUAACUGCCCACCAAGGCAACGAUCAGUAGCCGGCUUGAGAGAGUGUACGGCCACAUUGGGACUGAGACACGGCCCAGACUCCUACGGGAGGCAGCAGUGGGGAAUUUUGCACAAUGGGGGAAACCCUGAUGCAGCGACGCCGCGUGAUUUAGAAGGCCUUCGGGUUGUAAAAAUCUUUUGUAUGGGAAGAAAAUGACAGUACCAUACGAAUAAGGACCGGCUAAUUAC
rnacentral:rRNA from 1 species